CUUUUUUCACACUAUAAAAUGAUCAAACAAUUUCUAUUUCUAGAGUCAUAAAACAGAAAAUAUGGCUAAAGUUUAUAUGUUUAUUUAUGCUAUGAUUAUUGUAUUUUCCAUAUUUAUUUCUACAACAAACUGCGGUAAGUAAUUUUUAUCAACGCUUCUAAAUUUGGUGAACGAUCGUACUUGAGAGUUUAGUUUGAUACUGGUAUCUCUCUAAAAUAUUCAAUACCAUAUCAUAUUUUCAUAUAAAUUUAUAGGGUUAAAUAACUGAUUGGUCCUUAUNNNNNNNNNNNNNNNNNNNNNNNNNNNNNNNNNNNNNNNNNUCAAAUAUUUUUCGUACAAUUUUUAGUCCUUAAUUGCAUUUAACUCAACUCAUGCAUGUUAUUCAAAAUUUUGAAUUUUUUUCACAAUUAUGUUUAGUAUAUUAUAGAAACCUCUCUUACAAAAUUUAAAUUUUUUAUAACAAAGGAUGAAUUAAAUAUGAAAUUCUAAAUUUUUUGUGUUUAAAAAUUCAUAUUUAACUCAUCUUAUGUUAAAAGAUUCCAAAUUUUUAUGGAUGAAAUUCUUAUAAUAUUAUCAAUAUUAAUACAAAAUUUAUUUAAAAAUAUGAAAGUAUACAUGAGUUGACAUAAAUUAUAGAUCAAAAGUUAUGACAUAAAAUAUUUAAAAAAUCAAAAUUUGUUCAAAAUUAUUUUUUGUAAGACUAAAAAUGAAAUUUUAAUUAUUUAUGUUAAUAUAAAUUUAAAUUUUAAAUAAAUUUUGUAUAUAGGUAUUCAACAAAAACUAACAUACCUAGUAAUUUACCAUUAAAUUUUCUUUUUAAUUAUCUUAUUCAAAAUUGUUUUCUCCCCAUUUUGAUAACAUUCCUUAAUUCUUAUUUGAUAUCACAGGAAUUCUGCGAAGAUAAUGGGGAUUGCCACAAUUAUAUCUGUACCCCACCUGCAGUUCCAAAUUGCGCAUUCAAUCCUGACGAAAAUAUAAAGUUGAUUGUUAGACGUGGGAUUUGUGAAUGUAUACCUUAUAAUUAGUGGUUUAUGAAUGUGUGAAUAAAUCCUAAAAUAAUUUCUUUAAGAAUAAUGUUUAAAAGGGCGUGGUGGUGAGGUGUUGACGUGGAGGUGUUGGUUUNNNNNNNNNNUUUGGCGCUGUGGUCCUCCUUCCAAGUUCAGCGUUAAUCACCACUGAACCAACUAACGAUUGGUGUGGUUAUGGUUUUAUUUCGUUUAAUAAUAUGUUCUAUUUUAUUUUUUUACAAGUUUGAUACUGUAUGGUUUAAUUUGUUUAAUAUGAAAGUAUAUCUUGAGAAGAAUGAAGUUUCUCAUCAAUUUAAAGCAAAUGAAUCUUUAGAAAAUUCCCAUUAAAAAAAACUUCCUAAUCAACUAUGGAAAAAAUUGUUACAAAUUUUUUUUUUAAGUUGCUAGUAC
rnacentral:lncRNA from 1 species